rnacentral:rRNA from 1 species
ACGUAGGGUGCAAGCGUUAAUCGGAAUUACUGGGCGUAAAGCGUGCGCAGGCGGUUAUGUAAGACAGGCGUGAAAUCCCCGGGCUUAACCUGGGAAUUGCGCUUGUGACUGCAUAGCUAGAGUAUGUCAGAGGGGGGUAGAAUUCCACGUGUAGCAGUGAAAUGCGUAGAGAUGUGGAGGAAUACCAAUGGCGAAGGCAGCCCCCUGGGACAAUACUGACGCUCAUGCACGAAAGCGUGGGGAGCAAACAGGAUUAGAUACCCUGGUAGUCCACGCCCUAAACGAUGCUGACUAGUUGUUCGGGAAUUUAUUCCUGAGUAACGUAGCUAACGCGUGAAGUCAGCCGCCUGGGGAGUACGGUCGCAAGAUUA